UUGUAAUAUAAUAAGUAGCCACUAACUCAAAAUUGCAAAGGAGGACCUCCAACAUUUCUAUAAUAAAACAUUAAAUUCUAAACUUCCAGCCAUAUAUAAGUAGAUAUCUAAAAUUUUAUUUUGUCCAACUUAAACCUUCAAAAUAUUUUUCGUAAUAAAUUAAGUCCCAAUUAAAAUAAUUUAUUUCAUUUUAGUCCCUUUUGACUUUGACUUUGACAAUUCGACAUUUUAUUUUUUACUAGAAAAAUUUGGGUCGUAACAAUUUUACCUCCUUAAAAGAAUUUCGUCCUUGAAAUUCAAUCAACUAGUAUUCUAGCACAUAAAGGUAUAAAGCACAUACAAUGAAUGAUUUUCCCAGCAACCUUUAACUAGACAUAAUUUUAUUCUUUCAUAGCUAGCAUCUGAUUUGGCUUUGUCUAAGUUGAGCUCUCUUUACUUUGAUGGUAACCUUAAAGCAUACAUUAAAUCUGAUAUCUACUUACUAAGCCUUAAAAAUAGACCAUAAAUAUCAGAUAACUUAAUUAUAAACUCCAUCGUUAAACAAUUGAACCCAAGUUUUAAAUACAUCUCAAGGACCAAUGCAUGACAUUCCCAUCUUUUCAUUUUACCAAAUUUAGAAAAAUUUAAUUAUUUCCCAAUUUGAAGUUCAAAAUAAUACUUUUCAUAUUCUCCAA
rnacentral:lncRNA from 1 species